rnacentral:hammerhead_ribozyme from 1 species
ACCAGCUGACGAGCUUAAAAUAGGACGAAACACGCGUCCUGGAU